GUUUAUAUAGCUUAUUUAGAGUUUAAUAUUGAAGAUAUUACGGAGGAAUUUUUUUUCUUGUAAAUA
rnacentral:tRNA from 1 species